UGUAGUCAUAUGCUUGUCUCAAAGAUUAAGCCAUGCAUGUCUAAGUAUAAGCAAUUAUACCGCGAAACUGCGAAUGGCUCAUUAAAUCAGUUAUCGUUUAUUUGAUAGUACCUUACUACAUGGAUAACCGUGGUAAUUCUAGAGCUAAUACAUGCUAAAAAUCCCGACUUCGGAAGGGAUGUAUUUAUUAGAUUAAAAACCAAUGCCCUUCGGGGCUCUCUGGUGAUUCAUAAUAACUUCUCGAAUCGCACGGCCUUGCGCCGGCGAUGGUUCAUUCAAAUUUCUGCCCUAUCAACUUUCGACGGCUGGGUCUUGGCCAGCCGUGGUGACAACGGGUAACGGAGGGUUAGGGCUCGACCCCGGAGAAGGAGCCUGAGAAACGGCUACUACAUCCAAGGAAGGCAGCAGGCGCGCAAAUUACCCAAUCCCGACACGGGGAGGUAGUGACAAUAAAUACUGAUACAGGGCUCUUUCGGGUCUUGUAAUUGGAAUGAGUACAAUUUAAAUCCCUUAACGAGGAACAAUUGGAGGGCAAGUCUGGU
rnacentral:rRNA from 1 species